GAUCCUGGCUCAAGACGAACGCUGGCGGCGUGCUUAACACAUGCAAGUCGAACGAAGAGCGGUGGAAGCUUGCUUCUAUCAAUCUUAGUGGCGAACGGGUGAGUAACGCGUAAUCAACCUGCCCUUCAGAGGGGGACGAACAGUUGGAAACGACUGCUAAUACCGCAUACGAUCCAAUCUCGGCAUCGAGACUGGAUGAAAGGUGGCCUCUAUUUAUAAGCUAUCACUGAAGGAGGGGA
rnacentral:rRNA from 1 species